rnacentral:rRNA from 1 species
ACUCCUGCGGGAGGCAGCAGUGGGGAAUUUUGGACAAUGGGCGAAAGCCUGAUCCAGCAAUGCCGCGUGAGUGAAGAAGGCCUUCGGGUUGUAAAGCUCUUUUGUCAGGGAAGAAACGGUGAAAGCUAAUAUCUUUUGCUAAUGACGGUACCUGAAGAAUAAGCACCGGCUAACUACGUGCCAGCAGCCGCGGUAAUACGUAGGGUGCAAGCGUUAAUCGGAAUUACUGGGCGUAAAGCGUGCGCAGGCGGUUUUGUAAGUCUGAUGUGAAAUCCCCGGGCUCAACCUGGGAAUUGCAUUGGAGACUGCAAGGCUAGAAUCUGGCAGAGGGGGGUAGAAUUCCACGUGUAGCAGUGAAAUGCGUAGAUAUGUGGAGGAACACCGAUGGCGAAGGCAGCCCCCUGGGUCAAGAUUGACGCUCAUGCACGAAAGCGUGGGGAGCAAACAGGAUUAGAAACCCUAGUAGUCCCAUG